rnacentral:rRNA from 1 species
CCUNCGGGAGGCAGCAGCAAGGAAUAUUGUGCAAUGGGCGAAAGCCUGACACAGCGACGCCGCGUGGGGGAUGAAGGCCUUCGGGUUGUAAACCCCUUUUCUCANGGAAGAAUAAUGACGGUACCUCAGGAAU